GAAGUUGUAUUUGAUGUCUUCUGUUUUAGCAUACUCUCCCACUUCGUGGAAUCUGUUGGAAGCUUCUCUAUGUUGUCUGCUCACAGACUCCAGUUUCGUGUUGCCUUCUGGUCACAGUCCUUGCUUCGGUAGCCACCAAAGCCUGUCCAUUUCAAAGGGCUCUUGGGCUCUGAACUGCCUUCCCCGGACGGCAGUUCUAAGACCCUGUGCUGCAAGAACAAGCUCAGUCUGUUAAAAAAGAGUUCCAUGCCGUGGAGAUGUCAGGCACCAUCUGGCAGGAUGCUGUUGCCUCUCCCUAGCAACUGCUCCCACAUCCAUGUCUCUGGUUACCUUGCCUGCUUCCCUAGUUACCAGAACUUCCAGUCUCUAGCACACCUCCGAUACCACCUCCGUCGGUUUGCAGCUUCCUCCCAGAACCUCUUGAAAGCGGGUCCCGGUGAUUCUGCCUCCAGGAUCACAGACUGACUCUCAGCACCAACCAAACCCACAGUUUCACUCCUGUCAAGCCCACAGUAUCUAUGAGUCAAAACCGCCAGCACUUUAAUUCAGUGUUAAACAAUCUAAUCGAUCAACCAGUGAAUCUCAAUCGUGGAUGUACAUUUGAAUCACCUGCAAGCCUUUAAAAAGACUAACCCCCGCGCCGGGCACCAGCCCCAGAUAUUCUGAUUUAAUUGGUCUGAGGUAGAGCAG
rnacentral:lncRNA from 1 species